rnacentral:lncRNA from 1 species
AUUGUAUAGUAUUGUUGCCAAAUAAUACCCGACAUUUAUUUGCAGAUUUGGCUAUGCAUAGAAUUAUAGGAAAUAUACGGCAGACAUGAUAACAUAAGAUAUAUCCCCCAAAAUUAACAUUGCGAUAUCGUAGUACCGGUCCUCGAUUUUGGCGUUUCAAUAGUUAGUGUUUGCUUUAUUUUCGUGUGUUUAACUUUGGCACUUUCAUAUGAGGCACCAAAUAAAACAAAAUAAAACUACAACCAAAAUAACCCAAUUUACGGUA